UAAAAAUGUCACCACAGCAAACAAAGAAAACAACUACUACAAAAAACAUCAGAUGAAAGUAAAUAAAAGCAGCAACAGCAACUUCUAAAAAAAGGACACAGCAGCAGCAUUUUGGCCACUUCAUUUCAUACCAGAAACAUAUUGAGCCGCUGCCACUUGAGUGUGCGCCAAGAGAUAAGCGCAAUUAUAUGGAUUCAAGUGGCGGUCGGAGCCAGACCCGGACAGUCCCGGACAUGGUGGGCUCCUCCUGUCCAGAGCGCACACAACUGUAUAAAUUAGUUUUAUGUUUCAGGUGACUUUUAGAAUAUUCAGCUCAAGGAUCAAUACCCCUGAGGACAGUAUAUUUAAUUCAAGUCCAAGACAAAAAUGUAUUUACCUUUAUAUUUGUCAAGAUUUGAGUUCUAUACCAGAAAAUGCAUGGCAAAACCACUGCAACAGGCGGAAAAUAGGUGGAAAAUUCAAUAUUAAAUAUAAUUCAAUAUGACUACUAUUUAAAAUUCAAAAAAUUGUCUAUAUAUAAGAACUUAUCUAGAAAUCAAUACCUUAAAAUUAACCUAAAUUACUUUCAGAUUAACGCAUUAAAAUAUU